GAUUACAAGCCUUGUCCAGCACUACGAAUCAGAAUGUCUUCCCUCUUCUUUUGAAGCUGUCUGUUAAGAAGAUGUGAGUCUUCACCUCAAAGGGCUCUUGAAACGCUGCUAAUUACAAGGGGAUAAUGAGAACUCACCAAUGGAGACCACCUCAAUUAAACAAAAAUCAGUUUAUAUUGAUACAGCAAUUAAUUAUAUAUGACAGAAUAAUUGAAGAAGUUUUCCUUGUGUAUUCAUAGAGAACCUAAACUUAUAUGAAAUUAAGUAUUAGUUGUGGAGCAUUUAAUGAAGAUUAAAAUGAAUUUCAGCUGUAGACUUUAUACAAAAUUUAAAAAAUAAAUUAAGUGGUAAGAAAAUAA